CCUUAGCUUUCUGCAUAAGAACUCAAGAAAUUGUCUACAAAUUUCAAUCUAUAAGCCAAACUAGUAGAUGGAUGAUGUUCAUGCAAUAAGAAUGGAACAUUCAAAAACAUGGAAUCCACAGGCAGAAUAAGAUCACUAAUUGUCAUACCAUAUGACAUAGCAAACAUGUUCAAACACAAACUACAUAGCUGCAACUAUACAUUCCACAGUAUGGAAUCAUAGAAGCUUAGUAAGCAGAAGAGCACAAAUAAUACAAGCAUACCCAAUGUUCUUCAUAAAUACGAGUCAUAGCAGCAAAAGUAGCAGCAGAUCACUGCUCACUUCGUAAUUAGUCCCACAUGGCCCUGAACCAAUUCAACCAUCCACGCUGCUCCUUCCUCCCCAUCCUCCUCCCAAAUUUGAGCUCCUUCUUGCCCAUCUCCAUCUCCUCCUCAUCAUCGGAGUCCGAAUCCGAGUCCUCCUCGUCGGCCCUCUUCUUCUUGUGCUCCUUGUUCUUUCUCGUCCUCCUCCUCUCCCCUUCCCACUCCGUCGCCAAAGGCCACUCCAUCCGGCCCUCCCUGCCCUCGGCCUCAGAUCCGGCGUCCACUUCGCCGCCCUUGGGGAGCGGGAUCAUGUCGUUUCCGUAGGGGACGAUCCUGACGCCGUGGAACCGGUGGCCGUGGCGGUCGUGGUGGUGGUGGUGGCAGCGGUGGCGGCGGAAGUGGUGGUGCACGGGGCGGCGAAGAGAGAGGUCAACGUGGUCGAAUCCCUCGACGAAUUCGGGGAUGGGAUGCUCCGACGUUAUCUUCUCGAUCGAGGCGGUUAGGGUUGUCAGGUCCGCAUCCUCGGCCGGGACCAGUUCGGCGGUCGUCGGAUCGAAGUCCUCCGGCACCUCACGGAAGUCGACGGCCGUGGUCGCGUCGGGGGCGAGGGGGACGCGGGUGGCGUGGGAGAGAAGGAAGAGGAGGGAGAAGACGACGGAGAGGAUGACGGAGAUCUUGACGGAAACCAUGGAUUCGGGUAACGGCGGUCAAUUCUAAGAAAUGUGCGUUUGUGGGACGCUCUGCAUCCGUUAUUUAUAGAUGAAGGCAACGGAGUGACCGGUCAACCUCGAUGGUAAGAAUAAAACCACUCAUUUUUAAUACUUUUAAUUUGUUUUUCUUAAAUAUUCUUUAAGUUUGAUUUAUAGAUGAUAAUUAUCAUAUAAAUAGUUAUAGUUCCCAGAAAAUGCUUUUGCUUUUUAUAAAAUAAAGCAUCUUAAAUAGUAUCUUAAAUUAAACAAUUAAUUUUCUUAAAUAGUAUCUUUAAUUAAAAAAUAUAUUAACUAUCUUUCAAAAAUUUUCUAGUGUUUUAACCUGUUAUAAUAUUUUGAUCAUCAAAAUAAAAACAUUAUAAGACUUACACAGUAAAAGUAUUGUAAGAUCAAUUCAAAAAUAUUAUAAAUAAUCUACAUGAACGUUUAACCUUAAUCAAAUUAAUUAUAAAUAUAAAAAUAUAAUAUUAUAAUAAUCUAUGAGCAAUAACAAUCAACAAUAUGAUAUCACUUAUAAUAUUUUUAAUAUCUUAAUAAAUCACUAUAACGUCAUUGGAAAACAUGGUAAAGAAGUCAAAUGAAAAUAUUCUAAUAGUUAAAAACUGAUUAAAAAUAUACAAAAAUGUUUGAUACAAUUUUUUUAGGGAUAUUUUAGGUUUUUUAAAAUUAGAGAUACUGUUUGAAAAAAAGAGAAAUUUUUUUCAAAAAAAAUAUAUAAAAUAUGAAAACUCGAGGAUUAAGUAUUUAGAUAUCUUUUUCCCGACAUCAACUGAAUUAAACUAGCAAAAAGAAUAUAAUAUAUCAGAGAGCAUAUAAAUACAUUGCUUGUUUCCUAUUUUAAAUUUUACAGCCUGGCACCACACAACUAUUAUAGUCUUAGAAUUUACGUGUAUUCGGUGCAGGUUAAACGUGGAAAGUCGUCUGAAUCAAUUAGUUUAAUUACGACCUGCUUCACUUUCUCUGGACUGCACAACACGCGGACGAUUUAGUCAAACGAUUACGCACACGCUGCUGUCAUUGAUUGCAACAACACACCAAUAUAAUCUUCGUUCCUUCAAUCAUGUUGCAUUGCUUAACAACGAAGGAGCCUCAGUCAAUUGUAUCUCCAAAUUGACCACUGCAGCUGUUCGUGGACUUCGUCCCUAAAGGACAACAUGUGGGAAAGAUCGAGAAGACAAGAAGGUCGGAAGAGGAGAUGGAGAGGAAGAGGUCGGUCACGGGUAGGAUUCUAGGAGAUAGAAAACUAUUAACAGGAAAUGGAUAAAAAGAGGGAAAAGAUAUAAAUAAAAUAAUUAUAUUAUAUGUGGGUUAACAAUUGUGAUUUAUAUUAGUUAUGAUUGAAUAACUUGGUACUUUGGAGGAUUUGGAUUUGGAUUUGGAUGAUAUAAGAUAGGAAAAUUAUGGCUUCUCCCUAAAUAUUUCUUUUUCAUACAUUUUCUAUUUUCACAUAAAAUUUCUGGCACCUCCGCUUUCCGUUGAUCCUAUACGACAAAGGUCCGAUGGGCUUUCCCUUUAGCCCAAUGCAGGUCCCUAACUCGACUUCCGCCCGCUCACCCUUCACUCGAUUCUCUGCCCUCGCUUUCGCCUAAUCCCUAAUCGAGUCACUCUUCGGCUCCGACAUGGUCGAUGGUGCCAAUGCCCUCCUCGCUGAUUCCUUCGCGGAAACCUCAACUUUCCCACGGACCCGUUUCUUCGGUCUCCUCCUCUCUCUCUACCCUGUCAAAUCCGAUGAUUCUUUGCCGCCGCAUCCUUUCGCUACUCCAUUCGGUGACCCUCAGAAUUCUGAUGAAUUGCCACUGCAAGUCGGGCCGCUUGGACGUCGCACACCAAGUGUUCGAUCAUACGAUAUAUGGUUAUUGAACUCCACGUGAUCCCUUGCAAUGUAUUAAUCCAAUUCUUCAGAAGGAAAGGACGGAUCUUUGAUGCAUUCAACGGUCUACGUGAGACGCGGAAGAGCAGGCCGAAUCGGCGGGCAUACGCAAUUGCAGACGAUGCGGAAGACGGUUCUUUUAACGUGACUCGUUUGCGAAUUAGGUUGGUUCCGAGUGCGAUCGCUUGUAAUUAUGGUUUCGAUGGGCUUGAUAAAGAAGGAAAGGUGCAAGCUUCGAGGGUUCAAGUUGGAAAACAGGGGAAAUGUGGUAUCAUAAGCUGGUUUUACCAGUAAAAGAAAGAUUGAAGAUGCAAAGUAUGGUUUUUGUCGAUAUGUCUGACAAGGGGUUAUGUCCGGAUGCUACGACAUACGCAGGCAAAUUUAAUAAUUUAUUCUAUUGUCUCGCAGGUGUUUUGCAUAGAGUUGAGAUUGAGGAAUAAUUUUGGUGCUUCACGAAUUUUUUUCUAACUGCUGUUGUGCAUCUACUGGUAAUUCCUCUUAUUCUCAAAUAUGUUUGUCAGUUUGUUCAACUUGCCAUUCUCAGAACACAAGAAACAACCAAAACAAAUUAGAAAAGGUUUCAUCAUGAGAAAUGCUGACGCAAUGUGGAUCUUAAGCUACAGUUUUGAGGAGAAAUUAAUUCAAAAUAUGAAGUUAGAAAAUAUGAAGUUGUGCUACCUAAGACUUCAAAGCUGAUGACGCUGGUAAUAAACUUCAUGGUGCUAUCAAGGAUAUAGUGGCUUGGUCUAGUGAACUUUGAAACUCUGAUUAUUUGAUCUAAACUUUGGUAUCAGUGCUUUUUUACAUUCACAUUGUUUGUUAAAAUUUUUGUUGCAUUCAUGUAUCUAUUUAGGCUUUAUUAGUUUGCGUUUUCUUUUCUUGUAUGCAUUUUGGGGAAAAUGAGUUAUGAGGGUCACCUCACAUACAUGGGAGGCAGAAGGUUCUCAAAAAUCUGAGAAUUAGUUUCUAGAUUUUUUUAUGAAUUACUUUCCAAUCUUCUUUUCCUUUUGUUGUUGUCGUUACUGUCGGAUGUGAGUUUCUUUUAGUUUGUUUCAGUAUUCUUGUGUAAUUUUUCCAUGCUGAUAGAUGUAUAAUGAUGGUAUGUCUCAUCAGUGAUGAUUGUGGUACUAAGGAAGCAGAACUUGUAUGUCUGUUGUAGCAAUUCACCUUUAUCUUAUGAUGCCAUGAAGGUUUCAUACAUCAUAUUGAACUUUUUGAUCACAUCUGUUUUUGUAAAUGUUUCGUUCUGCUUGUUUUACAUAUUUGGGAAUCUAGGUAAAAAGGAUAUUUAUGUACUUGCCAUAAUACUUGUAAAUUGCAUUUGCUUUGUUUUUGUCGAACAUCUUCUGUGCAUUCAUGUGGUGACUAUUUAUUUGUCUGAAAACUAUCCUUCCACCCAGUUGUGCUAGACAAUAUUUCUUUAUGAGCAAACCCACACUGCUUUCGUGCAGGGCACUAGGUUCUAACUUUGACCUUGCAGAGUAUAGCUUCUGACAAUGGCUUUAUCAUGACGGAGCUGCAUGUUGAGAUUAGUAAUGUGUCCACCAUAGUGGUUGCUACAUUGACUGCAUUUCCACAUUCCAGACAGUAGAAUUUGCUACUGGAGAUUGUGGUGACACUCUCUGCACAAUAAUAAAGUAAAAGCUUUUGAUGUAUUUGUGCCAGUACAUUCUAGUGUGCAUGUGCAUUUGAAGCACGUCUGUUUGUACAAUGCAAAUAUAUGCAAAUGCUACUUGUGUAAUUCAUUAGCUUUAGGUUUAUAAAUGUAGCACAAUCAUGAUCAAUGUUUUAUUUUAGUCUUUGACAAUAUGCAGAAUUGAGACUUGUAGUUACAUGAGAUAAUAUCAAAGGUGUGGUUGUUUAUCCUCCUCAACAUAACUCAUUGCUAAAUAGCUCCUCUUGUUUUCUCUUGCACUAAUAAUAACUUACAUGAUGUAAAUUGCAAACUCAUGAGUAUUUUCACAUUUUCUCGCUGGCAUAGUCUUAUUAUUUUGAUAUAUAUUGAUCCUCAACAAGUAUAGCAAUAUUAGUCUUUAGUUUUGAACUUAUUUCUGAUUGUCUUGCAGUUCUUUGUUCACCUAAGUGGUAUUGUGAAAUAAUAGGAUUGGUUCUUGCCAUGUUCUUCUGCAUACAACCAUAUAUUUGAUCACUUCAUAUCUGUCUGAACUAAUUUGCUUCUCUAAAUAAGCUGCAAUUCAAGUGUAAAUUUAAUUUUGACUCGGAACCACCAAAACUACCUGGUUCUCAUUAGAGAGACUUAACACAAUCAAACUUGUAGAAGCACAAGGACAAGGCAUCUCUACAGUCUUUUAGAUAAUAAAGCUUGAAUAUAAGUACUUGAACUAAUCUAAGUCAAAUCAAAUCUAACUUAUAAAAGCACAAGGAAAUAACAUCUCUAGAGAUUUUGGUAGAUGAUAAAAGCUUGUCUCUAGUUACUUGAAAUUAAGUAUUCAAAAAUCUAUUAGUCACCUAUAUGAUGAAAACAAAGAGAUGCUACUAACUUCAUUCCAGUUGUUUGUUUCAUUUUCUUGUGUCUUCUUAUCCUUGGUGUUUGUAUUUUCUUAACAAACCCAAUGAAUUUUCUUUAGAAGAAAAUUUUCAAUGUAGUAUCAUGAUUUCAACUUUCAUGCCCAGUAAAAUUUUGACACAUCCUAUGUGCAUGCUACAGAUAUGACUAUGUUUCAUCUAACACGUCCAGAGAUAUACAUAUUUGUAUAGCCCCACACGCUUAUUCAACUCUUAGCUCCUAGUGGUCUCUGAUACAGAUCCAUUCCUGUUUCUAGACUGCUGGUUCAUGUAGCUAUAUUCAUAAUGAUUGUGAUACCAAUGUAGCAGGGUUUGCUUCCCACUGUCUUGGCAAUAACCAGUUAACCACUAGUCUUUUUUUCACUUUAUUUUGCCACAUAUUUCUUUCAUCAUCUUAUAUGAGAAAGUUACUGUUAUCAACUGUAGUCAGAGAACCAACAUAUUUUCAUUGGUGAAAAACUUGUACUGAAGAAUGUGCUAGAACAAAAACCUGGAAUCUUACAUGUAAGAUCAUGUCAUCCAGAUCAAUAGUAUCUCCAUUGUCUUUCACAGUCUACAAGGGACUCUUAACUUGUGUCUCCCUUCAGGGCAGUGGGGACUCUCAAACACCAGGAGACCCCAGCUUAUUGGUGACUACUGUUUACUACUAUGCAUGGACAAACUGGGCAAACAAUAAAAGUAUCUGAUCUUCCCAAGUUAUUUAUUAGUAGAACUACCCAAUACUUAGUCCAGUGUCAUCAGCUCAUUGCUGGUGGUUGACUUUCUUCUCUCUGGGUUGCAAGUGGAUGAAUGAUGAAACUGGCAAGGCUGUUUGCACUUCUACUGUUUCGGUUUGGUUUAUUCCAGAGAAUCACAUCCAGGGAUGAGAUUAUUAAACUUGCUUAUCUUGCUAACUCUGCUUGAACUUAUGGAAAGUGUACUCAUGGCAUCUUUGCAUUGCCAGCAUUGUUGGUUUACAAUUAGCAACUACAGCAUGAUGCAUAUUGGUCAACCAUAAGGAUCAUCUUAUGUGUGUGCACUGCAGAUACUUUUAUCUGGAUAUCUGACCACUGAGCAUUUGCUGCUGUUUCUGAGACUAAUGCACCACUACAAAUGCUUCAUCAUCUGUAGUUGUACACCUUCUUGUGCAAUUCAUAUAUCACCUAUUCAAACACUCGAGUGAUGGGCAAGUUAUCUACUCUCUCAAGUGAUGGAAUAAGCUAUUUGAUGACCAGUUCAGUGCAAGUAAACUGGACACCAGCUUCUGACAUUUGCUUAUUAAUGGUCACUGAGUUUAAGGGCUGAGUACAUGACUUCCCUUGUUCCCUGAGGAUUGUACAAAGGACAGAUAUUACUAGUAAACUGCCUUGAGUCAACUGUAGGUAUUACAGUAUUGCUGUUUAGGUAAUGUGCAGUUUUUGUUAUUAGAAAACUGCUAGUGGUCAAAGCAUCUCUCAUAUUCCCAAUAGCUUUGCUCCAAAAGAUAAUCUGAUCUGAGUCUCAAAAACAUUAGCCACAAGAUGAGUUUUUUUUUUAUUUAAAUCAUGUUAGACUUUUUGGGCUUCCAUACAAAAUAAAAGCUUUCCAAAGUCAAACUAUGAAAACCACAUAGAGCCUGACUUCAAAAACAGAGUCUCAUGAAAUUUCCUGGCAGCUCUGGACUGAGUUUACUACACUAGUAUUUGGUACAGUCAACUGUAUUAUUCAUUCCAAGCUUGAAGACGCAUCUCCUGCAGUCAAGCAAGCUCUUGGUUCUUCUCAACCACUCUCACCUCCUUUGCAGAUCUGAGAAUGGCUGCCUGAAGGAAGGAGGACAUCAAAAGACAACAUGGCAUUUCCAUCAGGGGUGACACAAAACAUCUUAAAUCCAAGAAGGAAUACCUGCUUUUUGGUUAUCUCCACUGAGAAGCCAUCAACAAUUGCCAGAGAGGACUUCUUCCUGUAGGAGUUUGGUGGGAGAAGCUUUGCCAGUAGCUGGUCAUGCUUGUGACUCAG
rnacentral:lncRNA from 1 species